rnacentral:tRNA from 1 species
GCAGUAGUGUGUUCAGUGGUAGAAUACUUGCCUCCCAUGCAGAAGACCAGAGUUCAAUUCUCAACCAAUGCA